rnacentral:rRNA from 1 species
UGGGGAUAUUGCACAAUGGGCGCAAGCCUGAUGCAGCCAUGCCGCGUGUGUGAAGAAGGCCUUCGGGUUGUAAAGCACUUUCAGUCAGGAGGAAAGGUUAGUAGUUAAUACCUGCUAGCUGUGACGUUACUGACAGAAGAAGCACCGGCUAACUCCGUGCCAGCAGCCGCGGUAAUACGGAGGGUGCGAGCGUUAAUCGGAAUUACUGGGCGUAAAGCGUACGCAGGCGGUUUGUUAAGCGAGAUGUGAAAGCCCCGGGCUCAACCUGGGAACUGCAUUUCGAACUGGCAAACUAGAGUGUGAUAGAGGGUGGUAGAAUUUCAGGUGUAGCGGUGAAAUGCGUAGAGAUCUGAAGGAAUACCGAUGGCGAAGGCAGCCACCUGGGUCAACACUGACGCUCAUGUACGAAAGCGUGGGGAGCAAACGGGAUUAGAUACCCCGGUAGUCCACGCCGUAAACGAUGUCUACUAGAAGCUCGGAGCCUCGGUUCUGUUUUUCAAAGCUAACGCAUUAAGUAGACCGCCUGGGGAGUACGGCCGCAAGGUUAAAACUCAAAUGAAUUGACGGGGGCCCCGCACAAGAAACGAAG